rnacentral:rRNA from 1 species
ACCGGGAAACCGGUGCUAAUACCGGAUACUCCGUCUUGGCGGCAUCGCCGAGCCGGGAAAAAAUUUUGAUGAAAGAUGGUCUCGCGGCCUAUCAGCUAGUUGGUGAGGUAAUGGCUCACCAAGGCGACGACGGGUAGCCGGCCUGAGAGGGCGACCGGCCACACUGGGACUGAGACACGGCCCAGACUCCUACGGGAGGCAGCAGUAGGGAAUAUUGGGCAAUGGGCGAAAGCCUGACCCAGCGACGCCGCGUGAGGGAUGAAGGUCUUCGGAUUGUAAACCUCUUUCAGUAGGGAAGAAGCGAAAGUGACGGUACCUAAAGAAGAAGCACCGGCUAACUAUGUGCCAGCAGCCGCGGUAAUACAUAGGGUGCAAGCGUUGUCCGGAAUUAUUGGGCGUAAAGAGCUCGUAGGUCGUUUGUCGCGUCGAUUGUGAAAAUCUGAGGCUCAACCUCAGACCUGCAGUCGAUACGGGCAAACUAGAGUGUGGUAGGGGAGACUGGAAUUCCUGGUGUAGCGGUGGAAUGCGCAGAUAUCAGGAGGAACACCAAUGGCGAAGGCAGGUCUCUGGGCCAUAACUGACACUGAGGAGCGAAAGUGCGGGGAGCGAACAGGAUUAGAUACCCUGGUAGUCCGCACCGUAAACGGUGGGCACUAGUUGUGGGAACCUUCCACGGUUUCCGCGACGCAGCAAACGCAUUAAGUGCCCCGCCUGGGGAGUACGAUCGCAAGAUUAAAACUCAAAGGAAUUGACGGGGCCCCGCACAAGCAGCGGAGCAUGCGGCUUAAUUCGACGCAACGCGAAGAACCUUACCAAGGCUUGACAUAUAGCGAAAAGUGGCAGAGAUGUCAUGUCCGCAAGGGCGCUAUACAGGUG